AGUGAACUGAAGCCAUGCUCAGUACCAGCGAGGUCCCGAGCUCCUCGGAGGAUGAAAACAGCCAAGUUCAUCAGGAAAGCCAGCUCCCCACAGCCUCUCUCAGCUCCCAGCAGCCUGCCUCUUCUUCUCCAGGUCUGCCUCUCAUGCUGCUGGCAACAGUCCUCAGACCAAAAUGAACCAAUGGAAAAUAUCCCACUGGAAUUUUCAUUUUUGAAGAAUGUAUUUGAGGAACCAUGCAACACGGAUGAUACUGAAAAAUUUUCUAUUUCUCACAGUAAGUGUGAAACAAAAUCAAUAUAAUAAAGAGUAGGA
rnacentral:lncRNA from 1 species